UACGUAGGGUGCAAGCGUUGUCCGGAAUCAUUGGGCGUAAAGAGCGCGUAGGCGGUCCGGUAAGUCGGUUGUGAAAACUGGGGGCUCAACCCUCAGAGGCCGACCGAUACUGUCGGGCUAGAGUCCGGAAGAGGCGAGUGGAAUUCCUGGUGUAGCGGUGAAAUGCGCAGAUAUCAGGAGGAACACCAAUGGCGAAGGCAGCUCGCUGGGACGGUACUGACGCUGAGGCGCGAAAGCGUGGGGAGCAAACAGG
rnacentral:rRNA from 1 species